rnacentral:misc_RNA from 1 species
GGCAAGCAAAUUGGCAACACAAUCCCAUUUUCUCCUUUCUUGUUUCUGAACGGUAUAUAAAAGCUUGCCACUCCAGGGAUGGCCCCUCCCCCACCUUUCGCUGGCCCACCAUAUGCAGCCUUACCCCAUCCAAAAUCCACCUCUCCAAAUCCUGCACGCGUCACAUCCGACACUAGGUAACUCCUCACCACUGUAAAAUGAGGCCUACCUUUAAUCACCAUCAGAUCCGCCACGGAUCGCAUGUACUCUUCCAUCACACUAUCUUUAACCUCUUUUACCAAUUCUAAUGCGAAGCCUAGCGGUUUCUCAAUUAGUUCUUUUGCUCUUGCCACCGCCACCGGAAACACAAAUCCGUUGCCGUAAUAUCCAGUUGGUAACGGAGGAUUGAAUUUGUUGCGUCCAUUGACAAUACAAAUAAUACGCAUCUCUUCAGUGGGAUCUGGUUGAAGUGCAAUGGUACGGCACUUCCACAGACAUGCCGUCAAUAAUUCAAAGUUAGAGCAUUGGCGGAGGUGCUUCGGCACAAAUCUUCGGAGAGCAGCGACUUCAUUGGGUCCAAAGAAGAAUGAUUGGUGAGCCAUGUCAUCGAGCGGGAUUAUUGUGCCUUUGGUGUCGGCAACCUCAUCGUAUUCACGAUGGGUGCGUGUCACACGUGGUGGAUCCCGAGCGUUAAGGAAAUGCCUUUCCCAUACUGGAAGAACAGACGGCGCUUGUGCGCCACG